UGAAAACUAAGUGUUUCUAAGUGCCUUUCAGAAUUAGAGUAAUUAAUAAUGCAUAUCUGGUAUUCAUAAGAGUUAAUGUGGAUUUCCUAUUGGACUUUUCUAUUUGUUGAAGGCAGAAGAACCAACAUGGCUUGUUUAAAUCAAAUAAGGUCACUGUUUGAAGAACUAAUCCCGAGGAAGAAAAGCUAGAUCCAUUACUAGUAUUGAAAAGCAUUCCCCUGUUCCCAAAGACCAGCUGUAUCCUUGAGUCUACAGCACCAGAUGAUGGGGCAGAAGAAGGCACAGAAGUGUUUUUAAUGAUUAUUCCAUUUUAAGAUAACUGUACAUGAAAAUGAUAGUCUGUACAAUUAUUUUUUUCCUCCAGAAAAGCCUCCUGAGCUCUGAAGAGAUGCAUGGAGGAUUCCAUCUUAGCAAGUCAAGAGGAUGACUGAAAAUGCCAAGUCUUUUAAGGUGAAAUUGAUCCUAGUAGACAUUCAGAAGGACAAGUGUGAGAGUUUCUGCCCCAGGGAAACCACCCAGAGUUGUAAACUACUUGUUUAUGUGAUAAAGUUUGCCCAGAGUCUGUGCCACCCAGAUGCAAAAAAAUAAACCUCCAAUCCUUUGGCCAAAUUGAUAAUGAGUAGUGAUUAACAAAAGUUCUUUUCCUUGGCUAGACUCCCAGGAGAGAGAUUCUGUUUCUUCCAGGUGGCUUAAAGAGGAGCUUGCCUUUGUGUGUUCAUCAUGUUCCAGGAAAAGGGAAGGCAGAGCUAAUGCCUCUCCUACAGGGUGGACCCUUGGUUAAACUUUGAACACCAAAUUUUGAUAAUUCUGAAGCACACAUUGAUUUUAUGGUUUUCUUAAACUCAAGGAUGCCACUAAUUGGGUACAGAAGUUGAAUUGACUUGUUCAUCAAAUAAGAUUUCUAAGGAUCUAUCAUGCAUGCAGAUGGCAGUCAAUAAAUGUUCUCUAUAGAUGCAGCAUCUCUGAGAUGGGGCCUACAAUCAAGUGGAUCUUAUCUCACCUGCCACUUGGUGAGCCACUAAGUGGCCAAGCCACUUAACCCAGGCUCACCAAUCAAAGAGCUCCACCCCGGACACAGUGAUUGGUCCAACAGUCCUAGCAGGGCCACUGAGAAUCUCUGGAAUAGGAGAGAUCACUAUAAACUCUAUGAAGGAGAGACUCCCUAUUUCUGACUUUGUGAGGACAAAGAAACCAGGUGAACUUGGAACUUUUGGAAGGCACAUUUGCUUCCACAUGGAGAUAGUCUGCCUGGGAAUGAAGCCAACUCAGAGGAAGACAAAGCCAAGUUUUGUAUGAAGAGAGGGCAAAGAGCUGAUGUCAUCUUUUGAAACUUCAUGCCUUAAAACUGGAAUCUGCUUUCUUCCCAAGGAGAGAUUCAUAAUCAAUUCAACAUUCCUUGUGAAUACCUUAGCUUAGGAUCUUGUGGACAUUCAUAUUAAUGAUUUUUUUUCCUUAUCACAAAAAAAUUUAAUCUUAGUAGGACUGUGUCAUGUAGAAAGUUAAAGUCCCUUGUGAUCAUUUCCACUUUGAAAAUCACUGUAUGUAGUUUUGUGCAUAUUCCUUUAGAUAUUUCUAUCAAUAUACUAAUGAAAUGGGAUGUAAUUGAGAAUUUUCUUAGUGUCUAUUUUACUAGAGGCCCAUAAAAUUGAGGAUAAAACAAUAGGUGUCAACACCUACAUUCUAGAGUGAGGUUAUCAGACUAUUUAUGUAGGAUUUGCAAAGUGACUGAUUCAGGUCUGCCAUUAUUAGUUUAUAUAAGAAGCUAUAUUUUUGAGAAGGCUAUGAAUUAAUGAAGAGAUUGAUAAGGCCAAUAGGAGCACAUUUCUGGAGAACAUUUUUGGCAUGGUGGGUAUAGCCCCCAUCCUGAGGUGGGGUCAGAGAAUACUUCCCUUUCACUGUAAGUCAAAUGGGGGAAGAGACUUCAAGAAAAUCACUCAGAAGAGCUUUUAUGUAACCCUGGAAUUUGCGGGAUAUGGUACCUGGUAGCUCAUUCAUCCCUCAUUCCCACUUGUAGGGCAGCAGAGGGAAGAGAUGAGACUGAACUCAUAAUGUGAUUUGAUUUGACUGCCUGCCAACUGUUUCUAAUUUGGAAUCAUUGCAAAACAUGAAAUCAUCCAAGUAGAAUGCAGCUAUCUGGUUUGGUUGACACUUGAGAAACUUUCCUCUAUCACAUCCAAUCACAGAUUUCUCCUCCAAAGCCACAAUCUUUCUUUCACACUCUCCUGAGUCACUGCUCCUAUCCCGGGUUGUCUCCACUCAGUAGACUCAGGCACAGAACAAAUGAGAUUGUUAUUAUGUGAAGAGAUUUUGUAGGACCACUUACAUGUAUAAUGACUUUAGUUAUGAGUGUACAGACAAUAGAAAUUUUUACAAUAAUUUCCAGGUCUAUGUACCACUUAACAUCAGAAUUUUCUGGAACUAUAAUUCAUUUUCUGGAUUCCGUAUCUACCUUUCCAACCCCAGUUUCUUCUUCCUGUACCCAAAUGAACUCCAUUGUAUAAAGUCCUUAAAUUCUGCCUAUGAAUUCUCCCUUCAUUGAAUCCCCUCUUUCCUGAGCAUCUAGCCUUUAGGUUCUAUUCCCUUACAAAUACUGCAAGAAUAUUAUUUAUAACAACCACUUAUUAACUUAAAAAAGUACAUUUUGGGGUGACAUUACCUCAUUUUCUCCUCACAAUAUCCCUGUGAUAUAUUACCAUCUCCGUUUUGAAAAUGGGAAAAUGGAAGCUCAGAGGGAUUGAGUGAUUUGCCCAGUGUCACAGCAAGUUAGUAGUGGAUACAGGACAAGAAUUUAGAUCUUCCUACCUUGCAAGCUCUAUAUUCUUUUCAUUACAACCCCAUCUCCUCAGCUACCUGCUGUCUGAAGCCACAAGUUUACACUCAGUUUCAUCAGCUUCAACUCUUGUUCUCUGCUCUGUAUCUCCAUCAUUUCUCCUCAAACUCCCUAAAGUUUCUUCAAACUCUAUCAGGAGUUUCUGGGAGUAGAGUUACAUUUCAAGUAUUCUGACGCUGGUCAGACUGACGCUUGCCAGUUCACAAAGAAUUUUGGGGAAUAAAUUGCUUCAGUUAAUCAAUCCAACUUGAAUAUUUGAGACUUCUAUUCAAUUAAUUUUUCUUCAGAGGUGUUUUCUAUUUUUAAAGAAAAAGAGUUGAAAUUCCCAUUUGGGGAGAUUUUUUAAAAGAAAACCAAGGCUUUUCUAAAAAAACAAGUACUUGAGCAGAUAUCUGAAAAAUGUUGGUAAAUUAAAACUUCACUAAAAAAAUCAUUGUUUCAUUAUCAUCCUGUAUGUGUAUAACGUUUAUUUUUCUUCUUCCCAUAUCACUUUUGGCUACUAGCAGUUUUUUUUUUUAUUAAAUCUUUGUUUUAUGUAACUGUGUCUUGGUAACUUUUCAGCUAAAAAGAGAAAAAAGGAUAAUCUUUAAUGUUAUUACUUGCUUUUGAUAUCAUAUCGUUUAAAAAUAGUUGACACUGACCACAGGGGAAGGGAGGGAAGACUGAAAGGGAAGAAAUCAGAGAGGGAGACAAACCAUGAGAAACUCUGGACUCCAGGAAACACAUUGAGGGUUUCAGAGGAGGGGGUGGGGGAGGGGUAGUUUGGUGAUGGGUAUUAAGGAGGGCAUGUCUUGUGAUGAGCACUAGGUGUUAUACGCAACUAAUGAAUCAUUGAACACUACAUCAAAAACUAAUGAUAUACUACUGUAUGUUGGCUAACUGAACAUAAUAAAAAAAUAGUUGACACUGAAUAAUAAU